GCCAAUGUGCUCUCUCUCUCUUUCUCUUGCUCUCUCUCUCUCCCGCUCGCCCUGGGCCCCCUCCUCGCCUGCUCGCCUCCCUGAGCUCGGAUCCCGGGCGCUUCAGGCUCGGGAAGGUCCUCCGCAGCUGGCAGUGGCGGUGGCGAUGACGGCGGCGGAGAGGAUGCCGGAGGAGACCGGCCCGGUGCGCGGCGUCCCCGGCUCGCCGCUCCGCUGCGCGUUUUGCAUAAGGAGGGCUCGCCUAAGCCGGCCGGACUGCAGGCGGGGCGCGCGCAGCUGCUGCUCCGGGGCUGGGUGGCGCGGCGGGUGGCUGUCCCGGAGGCGCGGGCCUCGGCACCGGGGUAGUUAACACUUCACGGUUUUCUCCUCUUCUGCCUGACUCUUAUGAUUACUAUUAUUAUUUCUCUUUUCUCUCUCCGGAUCCCUCUCGUGCGCGCGCUCUGUCUCUCUCACCCUCUCUCUCCGUGCAAAGUGCAAGACCGAGGUGCAGGCCGGCUGGAGGCAAGGGAGGGGGGAGUUUAGUUCUUUCUUGCCUUUUUUUUUUGGUUUUGGCUUUUUUUUUUUUUUAAAGAAAAAAAAAAAAGCAAGAUUGCAAAGUCCUGGGCCAAGGCGAGGCCGAGAGCGAAAGGGUGGGGGGAGAGGCCGAGCGGACUAGCAGCCCGAGCUACAGCUCCAAGAUGAAAAAAGAUUUUAAAGCCUCUGAUCCAGCGAGAAGAGUUUAAAGCAAUUGCUGAGUUUUAUAGCACCCGUGACGUCAGACUCAAAUGGGAAAUUGACUGGCACUCUCCUCCAAUGGGAGGCAGCGAGAGCGGCCGCUAUUAGCAUAAUAGUAUAGAAACAAGGAAACUUUUCGGAGCUGUCAAUCACAGCCCAAUCAGCUGACUGUCAGCUGGGACAGGCUGGCUUAACCCUUGCGGCGCCGCUGCUCCGGUGCAGCCAGGGAGCAACAUCCCCCACCCCCGUCCCGCGCGAAGUUUAGUGCACCAGGGGACAGACAGAGUUUGGUAAAAGGGCGGCUGGAAUCCGGGAGGACCCGGGAGGACGGUUUGCUUUUCUUCGGAGCUCGGGAGAGGCCUGCCCUGCUGAGCUGCAACUCUGGCGCUGCAGAGAGCCUCCUGAACACGCCUGUCCCUUGCCGGUCCCGCACCCUGACAAGAGAGGGAUUCGAUGGAAGCUGGGAGUCCACAUGCAAUUCCAAUGUCUUUGGUUGCCUCCAAUGAUGGAUGAUGAGGGUCUCACCUCCUGUCAAGUUUGCCUUCUAUCCUGCCCAUCCAUUUUUUUCAAGAGUUUCUGAGGUCAUCAAAAUGCUGAUUGUUGGACCAGGAAGAUGGCUUAGUGGGUAAAAAGACUUGGCUAUGCAAGCUUGAUGAAUUAAGUUCAAUCCCCAGAACUCACUGUGAAAAAAAAGAACUGGCUCCUGAAGAUUGUCUUCUGGCCUCCAUGGGUAAGUUGGGCAUGUGCAUGCCCCUACACGCCACAACACACACACACACACACACACACACACACACACACACACACACACACCCUAAUA